rnacentral:lncRNA from 1 species
CAAGAGUUGAUACUUCAAAGAGUCCAGAACUGUGGAAUAUGUUAGAAGUAGAUUUGUCAAGUGCCUUUUUACAAUGUGAAUUAUCCUUUAUUAUUUAAAAGGGCAUAGAAUGGUAGGAAAUAAAUUUGGAUGGCAUAUUGACAAUCUUGUGAAAGGUCAUCUGUGUUUUAGUUGUCUAUCGUACUAUUUUUCAGUUUUCAAUCAGUUGCCUCUAUGAAUCUACUUUGUAUCCUUUCUACUAUUUUUUAUGGACUAAAUCCAUAUUUCUUUCCUACAGUGAGAAGAGUAAUGGUAUUUGUCCAUAAUGAUGUACAUAACUACCCCCAAAAAUAAAAAGGGUCAGUUCUCUGUGCUAUCAUUUGAAAUUAGCCCACCAAUUUUUUUGUCCAAAAUAAACUUGGAUUUUCAUAUCAUCAUUAUGUACACCAAUAUGUAUAAUUAUGUACAAAUAGCAAUACUCUAGUGAAAAACAGUGAUAUCGUCCCACACCCAAGCAGUUGCGAUCAUGAUGAUGGUUGAAACUCGAAUAACAAGAUGGGUGGUUACUAGUCUUGGGUCAUGCUCCCUCAAUAAAAUUUUAGCAUUGGUCAUUGUCCUUUAUUUAUUUAGUGCUCAAAUUUACAUGAUAUUGUCGCUCUUUUAAUCAGAGCAGGCUUGAUAGAGGAUCGGGCAAUGAGUGGAGUUCUCUUCCCAG